GACGCGCUGGGGGCGGGGCGGGCCGGGGGUUGAGCGCCCUGCUGGGGGUGCGGGGAUGCCCCCACGUGAUCGGAGGGAGGCUCACAACCGAGCGGCACGAGCGCGGGGGAGGAAACUGAGCUGACAUGGAGCCAGCGCCCCUCCGUGUUCCUACUGUGCAUCAAAUAGGCCCAUGCCACCCAGCAAACCACACCUUACUCUUUCUGCAAAUGAAAACAGACUCUCAGCAGCACCUUCAUGAUGAAAACAGAGUUGAUGGAUUGAUGCUUUUUUCCCCUCACAUUCAAAAAAUAACUUAAAUUUAAA